rnacentral:rRNA from 1 species
GACGAACGCUGGCGGCGUGCCUAACACAUGCAAGUCGAACGCAGUGGGGACGGGUGAGUAACACGUGGGUAACCUGCCAUCAGAGGGGAUAACACUUGGAAACUGGUGCUAAACCGCUACUGAUGUAUGGACCCGCGGUGCAUUAGCUAGUUGGUGAGGUAACGGCUCACCAAGGCCACGAUGCAUAGCCGACCUGAGAGGGUGAUCAGCCACACUGGAACUGAGACACGGCCCAGACUCCUACGGGAGGCAGCAGUAGGGAAUAUUGGGCAAUGGACGCAAGUCUGACCUAGCAACGCCGCGUGAGUGAAGAAGGUUUUCGGAUCGUAAAACUCUGUUGUUGGGGAAGCGUUACCUACAGAGGAAGCCACGGCUAACUACGUGCCAGCAGCCGCGGUAAUAC